rfam:Picea glauca, whole genome shotgun sequence.
AUGUAAUGUAAUGCCUAAAUAAUUAAUGUACUAGAUCCCAUUAGAACUCUGUAGUUAAGCUUUCUCGGGCUAGAGUAGCACUAGGAUGGGUGACCUCCUCGUAAGUCCUAGUGUUUUACAUG